GCAAGUCGAACGCCCCGCAAGGGGAGUGGCAGACGGGUGAGUAACACGUGGGAACCUUCCCUAUAGUACGGAAUAGCCCAGGGAAACUUGGAGUAAUACCGUAUACGCCCGAGAGGGGAAAGAUUUAUCGCUAUAGGAUGGGCCCGCGUAGGAUUAGCUAGUUGGUGAGGUAAUGGCUCACCAAGGCGACGAUCCUUAGCUGGUUUGAGAGAACGACCAGCCACACUGGGACUGAGACACGGCCCAGACUCCUACGGGAGGCAGCAGUGGGGAAUAUUGGACAAUGGGCGCAAGCCUGAUCCAGCCAUGCCGCGUGAGUGAUGAAGGCCUUAGGGUUGUAAAGCUCUUUUGCCGGGGACGAUAAUGACGGUACCCGGAGAAUAAGUCCCGGCUAACUUCGUGCCAGCAGCCGCGGUAAUACGAAGGGGACUAGCGUUGUUCGGAAUCACUGGGCGUAAAGCGCACGUAGGUGGAUUUGUAAGUCAGGGGUGAAAUCCCGGGGCUCAACCUCGGAACUGCCUUUGAUACUGCAAGUCUUGAGUCCGAUAGAGGUGGGUGGAAUUCCUAGUGUAGANGUGAAAUUCGUAGAUAUUAGGAAGACACCGGUGGCG
rnacentral:rRNA from 1 species